rnacentral:rRNA from 1 species
UACGUAGGGUGCAAGCGUUAAUCGGAAUUACUGGGCGUAAAGCGUGCGCAGGCGGUUCUGUAAGUCUGUCGUGAAAUCCCCCGGGCUUAACCUGGGAAUUGCGAUGGAGACUGCAAGGCUAGAAUCUGGCAGAGGGGGGGUAGAAUUCCACGUGUAGCAGUGAAAUGCGUAGAGAUGUGGAGGAACACCGAUGGCGAAGGCAGCCCCCUGGGUCAAGAUUGACGCUCAUGCACGAAAGCGUGGGGAGCAAACAGG